GUGCUCAUAGCUUGAUUAGUUUGUAGAAUCUGACUCAUAAUCAGGGGGUCACUGGUUCGAUCCCAGUUGGGCCCA
rnacentral:tRNA from 1 species